rnacentral:rRNA from 1 species
UGGGGGAUAUUGCACAAUGGGCGAAAGCCUGAUGCAGCGACGCCGCGUGGGGGAUGAAGGCUUUCGGGUUGUAAACCUCUUUCGCUAUCGAACAAGGCCCGCUUAGGGUGGGUUGAGGGUAGGUGGAGAAGAAGCGCCGGCUAACUACGUGCCAGCAGCCGCGGUAAUACGUAGGGCGCGAGCGUUGUCCGGAAUUAUUGGGCGUAAAGGGCUUGUAGGCGGCUUGUUGCGCCUGCUGUGAAAACGCGGGGCUUAACUUCGCGCGUGCAGUGGGUACGGGCAGGCUUGAGUGUGGUAAGGGUGACUGGAAUUCCAGGUGUAGCGGUUGAAUGCGCAGAUAUCUGGAGGAACACCGAUGGCGAAGGCAGGUCACUGGGCCAUUACUGACGCUGAGGAGCGAAAGCAUGGGUAGCGAACAGG